rnacentral:rRNA from 1 species
CGGGGUGAGUAAUGUCUGGGAAACUGCCUGAUGGAGGGGGAUAACUACUGGAAACGGUAGCUAAUACCGCAUAACGUCUUCGGACCAAAGUGGGGGGACUUCGGGCCUCACGCCAUCGGAUGUGCCCAGAUGGGAUUAGCUAGUAGGUGGGGUAAUGGCUCACCUAGGCGACGAUCCCUAGCUGGUCUGAGAGGAUGACCAGCCACACUGGAACUGAGACACGGUCCAG